CUCGAAUCUCAUCAAUCAAUCGCCGCCUCCUCUCUCGAAUCUCAUUAAUCCGCCUCCUCUCUCGAAUCUCUUUCUUUGACUCGACGGGGCAGCUGUGGAAGGAGCAGACGCUCGCCGGGAAGCCUGCUGGGUUCUUCGUGAGUACAAGGACUCAGGGAGGUGGACAAGAGACCAUUGCAUGACAGCAAUCACACAGCUGGUGCAUCACGGGAUGCUAAUCGUCCCCAUAGUCUACACGUUUGGAGCAGAAUGUUCAAAAUGGACUCGAUCCAUGGAGGCUCGUGUGUUCGCUGGUGAUGGCUCAAGAGAAGCUAGGGAGACAGAGUUGGCUCUUGCUGAACAUCAAGGAAACUACAUGGCUUCAAUUGUCAAGAGACUUGCACAACCCUGAGAAGAAAUACAAAA